rnacentral:rRNA from 1 species
GCUUGUCUCAAAGAUUAAGCCAUGCAUGUCUAAGUAUAAGCCUUUGUACGGCGAAACUGCGAAUGGCUCAUUAAAACAGUUAUAGUUUAUUCGAUAAUCAAUUGCUACAUGGAUAACUGUAGUAAUUCUAGAGCUAAUACAUGCGUCAGAACCCAACUUUACGGAAGGGUCGUGUUUAUUAGAUACAAAACCAACAUCUCGUUGGUGAUUCAUAAUAACCAAGCGAAUCGUCGGUUUACCGACGAUAGAUCGUUCAAAUUUCUGCCCUAUCAGCUUUCGAUGGUAGGAUCGAGGCCUACCAUGGCGUUUACGGGUAACGGAGAAUUAGGGUUCGAUUCCGGAGAGGGAGCCUGAGAGAUGGCUACCACAUCCAAGGAAGGCAGCAGG